CAUAGAGGGUGAGAGCCCCGUCUAGUUGGUCGCCGCGCCUCUGUGAAACUCCUUCGACGAGUCGAGUAGUUUGGGAAUGCUGCUCAAAAUGGGAGGUAUACGUCUUCUAAAGCUAAAUACCGGCCAGAGACCGAUAGCGCACAAGUAGAGUGAUCGAAAGAUGAAAAGCACUUUGAAAAGAGGGUUAAAUAGUACGUGAAAUUGUUGAAAGGGAAGCGCUCAUGACCAGACUUGGGCCGGUUGAUCAUCCAUCGUUCUCGGUGGUGCACUCUGCCGGUCCAGGCCAGCAUCAGUUUGCCCUGGGGGAUAAAGGCUUCGGGAAUGUGGCUCCCUCGGGAGUGUUAUAGCCCGUUGCGUAAUACCCUGCGGCAGACUGAGGUCCGCGCUCUGCAAGGAUGCUGGCGUAAUGGUCAUCAGCGACCCGUCUUGAAACACGGACCAAGGAGUCGUCUUCGUAUGCGAGUGUUCGGGUGUCAAACCCCUACGCGUAAUGAAAGUGAACGUAGGAGAGAGCUUCGGCGCAUCUCCGACCGAUCCUGAUGUUCUCGGAUGGAUUUGAGUAAGAGCAUACGGGGCCGGACCCGAAAGAAGGUGAACUAUGCCUGUAUAGGGUGAAGCCAGAGGAAACUCUGGUGGAGGCUCGCAGCGGUUCUGACGUGCAAAUCGAUCGUCAAAUA
rnacentral:rRNA from 1 species